rnacentral:rRNA from 1 species
UGAGCAAUCUGCCCUUCUCUUCGGAAUAAGCGUUGGAAACGACGUCUAAUGCCGAAUACGACCUCCUUUCGCAUGAUCGGAGGUGGAAAGCUCCGGCGGAGAAGGAUGAGCUCGCGGCCUAUCAGCUAGUUGGUGUGGGUAAUGGCCCACCAAGGCGACGACGGGUAGCUGGUCUGGAGAGGAUGGCCAGCCACAGUUGGGACUGAGACACGGCCCAGACCUCGUACGGGAGG